rnacentral:rRNA from 1 species
AUUGAACGCUGGCGGCAGGCCUAACACAUGCAAGUCGAGCGGAUGAAGGGAGCUUGCUCCUGGAUUCAGCGGCGGACGGGUGAGUAAUGCCUAGGAAUCUGCCUGGUAGUGGGGGAUAACGUCCGGAAACGGGCGCUAAUACCGCAUACGUCCUGAGGGAGAAAGAGGGGGAUCUUCGGACCUCACGCUAUCAGAUGAGCCUAGGUCGGAUUAGCUAGUUGGUGGGGUAAAGGCCUACCAAGGCGACGAUCCGUAACUGGUCUGUGAGGAUGAUCAGUCACACUGGAACUGAGACACGGUCCAGACUCCUACGGGAGGCAGCAGUGGGGGAUAUUGGACAAUGGGCGAAAGCCUGAUCCAGCCAUGCCGCGUGUGUGAAGAAGGUCUUCGGAUUGUAAAGCACUUUAAGUUGGGAGGAAGGGCAGUAAGUUAAUACCUUGCUGUUUUGACGUUACCAACAGAAUAAGCACCGGCUAACUUCGUG